UGUAUAAGAGGAAAAAUGGCACUCCAAUAUUUCUCCACAUGUAAAUUAAAUAAAACAAAUAAAUUAUUUUUAAACCAUCUGAAAAGAUUUAAAAAUAUAUCUAACUAAUUAUAUUAUAUUAUUAUUAAAACAUUUAAAAUAAAAAAACUGAAAAAGUAAAAGGAAUAGAAAACGAUAGAGAGGGAGAAAAGACGAAAAAAAAUCGAUAAAACAGAGAAGAAGAAGAAGAAGAAGAAGAAGAAGAAGAAGAAGAAGAAGGAUUGUUGCUGUAGGAGACGAAAAUCACAGGCAAAAAAAAAAGAAAAAAAAAGGACAAAAUACUUCCUGUAUUUGAAGAAUACGAAAAGAACAUCCAUGGAGUUUUGUAAAUGUAGAGAGCGAAAACCUGCAGUUGAACGAACCUCUUGGACUCUAGACAACCCAGGUCGUUGUUUCUUUACAUGCCAUAAGAUGCGGGAUUUAGGAGGUUGCAAUUUCUUCAAAUGGAUUGAUCCCCCAUGUGUGCAAGGUCUAUUGAAGUGAUUCCCAGACUUUUGAAGAAAAUACGUGGUUUAGAGAGUAAAAUCCAUGCUUUAGAGAGGCGAAGAAUUGAUGAACUUUGUGAAGAAGUUGAUUCAUUUUGCCAAAGUUGUGCUGAGAGUAGUAAAUUGAUUGAAUCAUCUUGUGAACAAUUUGGUUUUUGGAGAAAAUAUAAAAAAAGAACAAUUUUGAUUUCUUUGCUUGUUUUGUUUCUGUGUUGGUAUGUAAUUUAAGGUAAAACUGAGAUAUUUGUAAAAUAUAUAGUGAAGUAUGCUUUUAAUGGUUUUAUGGUGACUGAAACUUCAUUAUUGGCAGGCAUAACAAAAUGGUAUUUCGUUUUGGAGAUUGGUCUUUGUGUUUAGCAAUAUUAGUACUAGUAUUGAGCAGCAUAUCAAGUUCAAAUUCUCUGAGGAUCAAAAAACAAAUUAAGACCAAAUCUGCUGUAUUUCUAUCCCCUGAGUUUGAGUUGGGACCAGGAUCAGUGGUCAAUAGAUUUUAAUGUUGGAAACCCA